rnacentral:rRNA from 1 species
UGGGGAAUAUUGCACAAUGGCGCAAGCCUGAUGCAGCAACGCCGCGUGAGGGAUGACGGCCUUCGGGUUGUAAACCUCUUUUAGCAGGGAAGAAGCGAAAGUGACGGUACCUGCAGAAAAAGCACCGGCUAACUACGUGCAGCAGCCGCGGUAAUACGUAGGGUGCAAGCGUUGUCCGGAAUUAUUGGGCGUAAAGAGCUCGUAGGCGGCCUGUCGCGUCUGCUGUGAAAUCCCGAGGCUCAACCUCGGGCCUGCAGUGGGUACGGGCAGACUAGAGUGCGGUAGGGGAGAAUGGAACUCCUGGUGUAGCGGNGUGAAUGCGCAGAUAUCAGGAAGAACACCGAUGGCGAAGGCAGUUCUCUGGGCCGUAACUACGCUGA